UCCCUCCCCGACAGGAGGGAGGUGUGUUGGAGAUAACAGGGUUUAGUAAGGAGCCAUGGGGAGCAGAAGCAGCUUGGAUGGGUGGUAAACCCAGAGGAUAGAAGUAGGGAGUAGACCAGAGCCCAGGGAAGUAGUAACCAGCUCUGGGAGUAAGUAGACCAUAGUUAUGGAGCUUAGGGUCCCUGAGCUGGAACCUGGAGCAGAGGGUGGGCCUGGCUUCCCCUACUAGCCACUGGGAAAGUGGCACAGGCUGUGGACAGAGGUUUGCCUGGAACAAUAGGUGGACAGCUUGUCCUGAGAGACUUUGAUGGACCCUGGAAAGGGAGGACUGUAGUGACCUGGCCCUCUGGCCCCAAAGAGGGAGCCAGGAAGUCUCUUCCCCACCCCCCCAAAAAAAAGGCUGCCCUGAGUCCUGGAGGUUGAGACUGAGCCAACAAGCUGAGCAAAGUAGGAAGGAGCAUCUGACCAUUGGUGAGCUAAUCCCCAGAAAGAAAGUUAGCUCCCACUACUAUCUUUGUCCACUGGGCAAGGAUAGACACUGCACUGACACGGGGAGUGAGAGACCAGAACCAGAACUCAACCCCCAGGCCUCCUGCACUCCAGCACAGAGAGUUAUUUCAGCAGGAGCUUGGUGACUUUCCGAUGCUAACUCCCACCAGAGACGUGGUUCAAUAAACACAAUCCAAUCUCCAGUGUGGAUGGAGUUUAAUAUCAAGCUUCAAUGGUCUCUGCCCAUGAGUAAUCUUUUAUUCCAAUCCUGUCUCUCCAAGGAUUAAGGAUCCAAUUGGAAAAAGGGCAGUGGUACUCUUCCAUGAAACAGGGUCCACCCACUGGAGAUACCAAGAUGAUGUGUCACUCACAGUAGAUUAUCCAGAUAUUCAAGAUAUGAUCUCUGCUGAGUUCCUUGGGCUUAGUUUCUCCAUAGCCGGCUCAGAUGUCCUGCUGGGCUCUGCAAGGCCCCUUGUGUUUCCCUCCUUUUUGAGAAGGGAAUCAUAAGAGUGGUACUAUCAUCCAAGCACCAGC